GCNGGCGAGUGGCGAACGGGUGAGUAAUACAUCGGAACGUGCCCUGUAGUGGGGGAUAACUAGUCGAAAGAUUAGCUAAUACCGCAUACGACUGAGGGUGAAAGUGGGGGACCGCAAGGCCUCAUGCUAUAGGAGCGGCCGAUGUCUGAUAGCUAGUUGGUGGGGUAAAGGCCCACCAAGGCGACGAUCAGUAGCUGGUCUGAGAGGACGAUCAGCCACACUGGGACUGAGACACGGCCCAGACUCCUACGGGAGGCAGCAGUGGGGAAUUUUGGACAAUGGGCGAAAGCCUGAUCCAGCAAUGCCGCGUGUGUGAAGAAGGCCUUCGGGUUGUAAAGCACUUUUGUCCGGAAAGAAAUGGCUCUGGUUAAUACCUGGGGUCGAUGACGGUACCGGAAGAAUAAGGACCGGCUAACUACGUGCCAGCAGCCGCGGUAAUACGUAGGGUCCAAGCGUUAAUCGGAAUUACUGGGCGUAAAGCGUGCGCAGGCGGUUGUGCAAGACCGAUGUGAAAUCCCCGAGCUUAACUUGGGAAUUGCAUUGGUGACUGCACGGCUAGAGUGUGUCAGAGGGGGGUAGAAUUCCACGUGUAGCAGUGAAAUGCGUAGAGAUGUGGAGGAAUACCGAUGGCGAAGGCAGCCCCCUGGGAUAACACUGACGCUCAUGCACGAAAGCGUGGGGAGCAAACAGGAUUAGAUACCCUGGUAGUCCACGCCCUAAACGAUGUCAACUAGUUGUUGGGGAUUCAUUUCCUUAGUAACGUAGCUAACGCGUGAAGUUGACCGCCUGGGGAGUACGGUCGCAAGAUUAAAACUCAAAGGAAUUGACGGGGACCCGCACAAGCGGUGGAUGAUGUGGAUUAAUUCGAUGCAACGCGAAAAACCUUACCUACCCUUGACAUGCCACUAACGAAGCAGAGAUGCAUUAGGUGCUCGAAAGAGAAAGUGGACA
rnacentral:rRNA from 1 species